rnacentral:lncRNA from 13 species
AAAAGCCGGCGAACAAGAGCCAGUGCCAGGCUCGCCUCUGCUGGAACACCAGGGGCUUCGCCGCAAAAACAUGGGUUUCUGCCUCCCACUGUUAUUCUGAAUAGUAAACAAACCCGGAAAAAGUGCAGAAGCAGCCUGGCCUGCAGAGACAGCCACGGAGAUGACCAAGACUGGAAUUCCAAGUGGUUCUUCUCCAAACUGUGUUGAACAUUUGUGAAUCUGAUCUGCACAUCAGGCUGAGGAGUCAUCUAACUGCAAAGCUGUGUUCUUGGGGAAGGCGAAGGCUGAAGGCUGAAAGAGG